GUUGAUUCAUCGCAGAUUGAGCAAUCCUUACGCAAAGACUAUUGAUUAAAUCAUCGUUGUCAACUUGAAAGAAGUUAACACGCCUCAGGGCUUUGAAUUUGGGCUUGCCUCGUUCAACAUUUUUAUAAACUAUUUGGAAAAAGACAAGUAAAAUGUGCCGCUUAUGUUUUCAAGUAUUACAGAGUGAGGCAGGAGAGCCAAGAAGUUGGAUUAUAAAAUCAGAAUUCCCAGAGGUCUCCGACGGGCUGAAAUGAUAGGCCAGAACUCACGACGUGGAAAUGGGUGGAAGCGAACAGCAUAACAUUCUGCCCAGGUGCCAAAUGGGAGAGAGCGGGCCUGGUACCAGUUAAUGCAGAAAAGCUUUUGGUGAGCUACGGAUUUAAGCCAACAGUCGACUAACUGGUACCAACGUACAAGAUGCUGUCAAAGUCCAGGGGAAGAUGUACGUCACAAGCCGAGUCAGGAAAGAAACAGCAAAAGAAAAGAAGGAUAUGUUUAUCUUUUUUCUUAUGUCAAAAGAAAUUGAAACAUUUCCAUGAGCCCGUGAAAAUUUAUGAGUCCACACCGCUGCACCUGCUGUGCCUAAUGGAGAAGAGCAGACCAGAACACGGCAAGCAUCAUGGAGACACUGGUACCCAGCCCUGCGCUCUGAGCCAUGAGAUUAGGACGAAAGUAAGAUGUGGUGCCCGCACUCAAGAGGCUUGCAGCCUGGCUGGGGAGGAAGAAAAGGCCAUGGCUGCAAUCACCGAACCCCCGAAACUCAGCGUCGCUGCCACCGAUAAGAUCACCAAGGCCCCUUUCUUAUUUAGGGGCCCUUGCAUCUCAUUCCCGCUGGAAGAAAUAACACAUUUGCAAAAUAGCAGUUUGAGAACAGUCCAGAGAGAUGGGAGGUGGCUGUGGCACGCAUGGUGAUGGAUUGGACAUUGGGGUUAAAGAAUAGCCAAGGAAGAUUUCCGGGUUGGGGGCUUGAGUGGCCAUCUUCAGAGACAAGAAAUAUGGAAGAAUGGAUUGCAGAAGGAAGUGAGUUCCGUGUUGGGCAGGUGGCGCUUGAGAUAACUUUGGGGAGUAAAAGGCAGAGAUUACUGCUGCUUGAUUCCCCGCUAGGGUCCCAUCUUUCCAUAAGUGGAUAUAGGUAGAGAAAUCUCGUGACUACUUGCCUGGAUGCGUCUGAUGCCCAGAGCUAGAGACUGGGGUGUUAUAGCAGAUGCUGGCACUUGACAUUCAUUUUCUACCUGAAGGCAGCUUAUGUUAGCACCUGCCUUGUUCUGGCCUCAGAAUAAGGAAUAGAUAGCCUAUCCAUAGGAUAAGAUGGAAUUGCAAGAGAGUUAAUGCUCUGGAAGCAGCCCUCAUCCAGUGAUGGGUAGAAAGUUGGGAGGUCUAGGGGUGCCUGGGUGGCUCAGUUGGUUGAACGUCCGACUUCAGCUCAGGUCAUGAUCUCAUAGUCCGUGAGUUCGAGCCCCGCAUCGGGCUCUGUGCUGACAGCUCAGAGCCUGGAGCCUCCUUCAGGUUCUGUGUCUCCCUCUCUCUCUGACCCUCCCCCGUUCGUGCUCUGUCUCUCUCUGUCUCAAGAAUAAAUAAACAUUAAAAAAAAAUUUUAAAAAAAAAAAAGAAAGUUGGGAGGUCUAUGUCCAACUUUGUCAAUUAUCCUGUAGUUGGGGUAACUUUGAGGCACAGACUAUACAGAAUUCCCCAGUGAGACAGAGUUUCUAGAGCCCUGGGGUGAGGUUGGAAACAUCCUGGCCAGACUUUGUGAGUAAGAGGUUUCUCGGGGCGAAGGGCUAUAUGGUCAGUUCCAGGACCUUGUGCAUCUAGAAAGGAAGGAUUGACAUUCUUAACAAUCGUCAACUUCCAGUUUGACUACUUGCUUACGGACCGAGAGCUCGCCAACUCGAAAAAACAGCCCAUUCCAUUUUCAGGUGGAUCUAGUUACUAGGAAGUUCUUUCUGGAAAUGAAGUAACACAUUAUGACUUCUAUCUUUUGCUUCUUUUUCUUUUCCUAAUUAAAAGCUUUAUCUUAGGAAAAGAAAAAGUGUGUGAUCCAG